CAUUAUUAAAUAUGUGCACAGUGAAUCAUUUCGCUCUGUGUUUUGCUGAGCAUUUGGACGUUUCAAUUAUUCGCCACAUUUCUAUAACCAUUGCAUUAAUAACAAACGAUAUGCGGAUUAAGGUCGUUGAGGAUUAUAAUAGUAUAGAAAUAUAAUCACCAUGGUCACCGUGAUUGCGCGUGCAAAUAACUUAACUCACUCGAGAUGUAAAUGUGGAUGAGGGAGAGAAAACAAAUUUUUCGUGACAUGACAGAAGACCUUCCUUUGACAAGAAGUUAGCAAUUAAGAGAACCUUGCAUUCACUCAAAACGUAGAUGACAACGCACCUCCUACUAUCGGCGCACCACUCGUCGCUUCUUCUGAAGCUUCUUCUUACGAAGGUGUUUUCUUCUUUUCGCGGUUCUCGCGGUGGAUGAUGACCAUUAUAUUCAAUGGUCAUUGGACCUGUGCUAUGAUGUCCAUUGUGUGAAGCAGUUCUAAACGAUCCACUGGUCAUCGUUGUUGGACUUCCGACCCGUCCGGCUCGUCGCUAGCACACUCGGGGGUACUUCUCUCCUCCUCACUGCUGCUGAAGCUUCUUUGUUGCUGAAGAGGACCUUGAACACCAGCUGAUGGUGGACAUGGUUGAGAGGGAUGUGC